UUCAAAAAGGUAAACGUUCUUUUCGGAUUAAAGUGAACUGAAACUAAAUAUGCAUUGCUCCUCGGAAACGUUCGUGUCGCUGUUGCACUUGCACUUUGCGAAAAACCAGAGAACCAAAAAUAUCUUGACAUCUCACCAUCGUGAAAGUUUGAAAUCUGAAAUCUAAAAACUAAAUUUGUGCUAUUAAUUUCUCUGUCGCUGUCCUAGAAUAAUCGCAGUUAGACUAGAACAGCGGUGAAUGUCAUUGACAUUAGAGACGAAGUUGCACUCAAUUUACCCGCACUUUUUCCCUUUUAAUAAUCUCGUCGAAACUGCGAAAGUGAAAUGAACUUCGAACUAACCAAGCUUGUCAAAACUGUGAAUGGAACGUACAUGAAAAGUGAAAAAUCUUUUCGAAAUAAGAUGUACAAACAAUAUCGCUCGUUUCUUGAAGCACACGUUAAAUAAAUGAAACUAUGACACUUGACAACGAAUA